GCCCAAACACCCUCUGGGGGAAGAACCUGUUUCUAAUACCCAACCUAAACCUCUCCUGACACAGCUUCAGGCCAUUCCCUUGUGUCCUGUCACAAGGGCCACCACAGAGAUCAGUGUGUGCCACUGUUCUUCCCCUCACAAGAAGUUGUAACUGCAGUGAGGUCUUUCCUCAGUCUCCUCCAGGCUGGACAGGCCAAGUGACCUCAGCUGCUCCUCACACAGCUUCCCCUCAAGGCCCUUCACCAUCUUGGCUGCCCUCGUUUGGAUGCUCUCUUAGUAUCUUUUUUUUAUUGUGGUGCCCAAAACUGUGCACAGCUCUUGCGGUGAGGCCAACCAGUGCACAGCAGAGGGGACAAUCCCCUCCCUUGCCCAGCUGGUGACGCUGUGCCUGAUGCCCCCCAGGACAGGGUUGGCCCUCCUGGCUUCCAGGGCACUGCUGGCUCAUGUUCAACUUGCCAUCGACCAGGGUACCCAGAUCCCUGCUGGACCAGUACCAUGGCACUGCUCUCCAGCUUCUCAUUCCCCAGUCUGUAUGUACUAUGAUCAGGGUUGCCGCAUCCCUGGGGCAGCAGUCCUGCACUGCAGACGAUAUUUGCAACUGGUCACUAUAGAAUUGACACUACAGAAAGAACGUUACCCAGACACUGGAAAGCACUGCUGCCUGAUUUUCCACACAGAAACAUCACCUGUGAACACCUGGGCAUGGGCAGCACCCUCACUGAUGCACCAGAAGACAUGCUGAGUGCCAGGCAGCUGAUCACCCAUGACAGAGGUUGUGCAUUCUGCUGUGCCCUGACUUUCUUUCUGUACUGCACAAAAAUAGGGCUGUCUCCAUUCAAAAGUCUGCAAGUCCACCUCUAGCAUUUCUCACUCUUGUGUAAAGUAGAGCUGGUAAGA
rnacentral:lncRNA from 1 species